rnacentral:misc_RNA from 1 species
ACAAACUUGGUCAUUUAGAGGAAGUAAAAGUCGUAACAAGGUUUCCGUAGGUGAACCUGCGGAAGGAUCAUUACAGAGAAGCUGCCCUUUGGGUAGAUCUCCCACCCUUGUUUAUAUUACCUCUGUUGCUUUGGCAGGCCCGUCUUCUGACCACCGGCCUUGGCUGGUCUGUGCCUGCCAGAGGACCCCCAACUCUUUAUUUCAAGUUGUCUGAGUCCUAUAUAAUAGUAAAAACUUUCAACAACGGAUCUCUUGGUUCUGGCAUCGAUGAAGAACGCAGC